rnacentral:snRNA from 1 species
GGAUGUGAGGGCGAUCUGGCUGCGUCAUGUCACCCCAUGGAUGGUCAGGGUUGAUUCGGCUGAUCUGGCUGGCUAGGCGGGUGUCCCUUCCUCCCUCACCACUCCAUGUGCAUCCCUCCCGAAGCUGCUCGCUCGGUCGAAGAGGAUGACCAUCCCCGAUAGGGGAGGACCGGUCUUCGGUCAAGGGUAUACGAGUAGCUGCACUCCCCUGCUAGACCCUCCAAACAAGAUCUCAAGGAAUAGUCAAAGUCAGAACAAUUCUUACACAUCUGAGAUCAUAGAACUUU